CUCUCCACUCGCACGCUAACCCUACACACUCCCGUUUACGGGCACACCUCCAAACCCUCAUCACGAUCCGGCUCCAAGGUCUCGAGAUGAAGUCGAGGGCGAGGUCCAGCGGUGGCGACUCCAGGCUCUCGGUGAGGAAGACU